CUUCCACCCCCCCGGCCAUUACCGAAGCGGAUGAAAACAAACACUAACGAUGGCGGCGCCGGGAAGCGACAGGCUGCUGGGCUUAAGGCGGGAGUGACCGCUUAACCAGUGAGGGAAGCACUGAAGAGCGCCAGUCGACGUGGGUGCGACAACUCGCGGAGUCUUAGGAGCAAAACGUCUGGGGCCUGCGAGCCAGGACCCUUCUGAAGCCUUAGGUGUCUGUCGGCGACGUGUACGGUCACUGCAGCUCCGGAGCGCGGAACCCUCAGCCAGGAGGCGCGGCUGGUCGGUCCCAGGUCCCGGCCUCCGUAAUGAGAGCCCGGAACCACUCUUUGUGCCGCAGCUUCACAGGCUGGAGUGUAGUGGUGCGAUCUUGGCUCGCUGCAACCUCUGCCUCCCAGGUUCAAGCGAUUCUCCUGCCUCAGCCUCCUGAGUAACUGGGAUUACAGGCUGGAGUGCAAUGACAUGAUCACAGCUCACUGCAGCCAUACCU
rnacentral:sRNA from 1 species